rnacentral:rRNA from 1 species
AUGGGACAUUUGUACAAUCCACAUAUGAAGAUAAGGAAGAAAGAGAUGUUUAUUUGCUGUCCAAAAAGUUCUCUCACGUCACUUUUGGCCCAAGAGAAGAUAGAGUCCGAGUCUCUCACGUUCUGGAUUCAGAUUCGGACUGCACAGACAUACCUGACUCAAAACGCACACAAGUUUUUCAUACGGACUCCGAAUUGGGUGAUUUUUUUUUUGUUGGAAACUAGAUUUCGUGCACUUUCCAACCCAAUUGGAAUCACCUUCAAAUUCGUCCGGAGCGUUGAGUUGUGGACGAAACAAUCUGAUGCUGCAGCAGAAUCCGAGUCAAACUACAAGUCCAAAGGUGUUACAUCACCUCCACUUGGGCCCAUUGGCCUUGUACGACCUAGAUUUAGUUUUAGGCUGCCUUGGGACGUCCUCCCACCUCCUUGGCCGCCACCCCUUGCUCCUAUAUAA